CAAGAUAACAAUAGACAAGCUAGCCACUCUUUUUUAAAGAUAAAGACAUGUGGGAGAAUGCAGAAAAUGGCAGCAAAACGAUGUCCAUAUAAAAGGUUGCAAUGCUAAAAUAAAAGCUCUCAUCAGGUGACAGUUUGUAGACCAUCCAUUGGAGCUAGAACAUAUUGUGGUAUAAAGGAAAAAGCCAACUGAUAUUUGGUAAAUG